CCUACGGGGUGCAGCAGUGGGGGAUAUUGCACAAUGGGGGAAACCCUGAUGCAGCGACGCCGCGUGUGGGAAGACGGUCCUCUGGAUUGUAAACCACUGUCCCCAGGGACGAAGAUGACGGUACCUGGGGAGGAAGCUCCGGCUAACUACGUGCCAGCAGCCGCGGUAAUACGUAGGGAGCGAGCGUUGUCCGGAAUUACUGGGUGUAAAGGGAGCGUAGGCGGGGAUGCAAGUUGGGUGUAAAAACUACCGGCUCAACUGGGAGUCGCACUCAAAACUGCAGCUCUUGAGUGAAGUAGAGGCAGGCGGAAUGCCUGGUGUAGCGGUGAAAUGCGUAGAUAUUAGGAGGAACACCAGUGGCGAAGGCGGCCUGCUGGGCUUUUACUGACGCUGAGGCUCGAAAGUGUGGGGAGCAAACAGGAUUAGAUACCCUUGUAGUC
rnacentral:rRNA from 1 species